GGCCGGACGAGCUCACAGAUCCCCCACGGGGACCCCGGGGGAGCAGGAGAGGAGGCCGCCCGGCUGGGACAUCCUAAAGGCACCAGGAUGGCUAAUUAGAAGGUCAUACAAGCAUGGCGCGUUUGGUUGGAUGGCAGUGCCUCAGGUUUACUUGGAGUUCAGAAGAGAGACCAUCUGCACUCGCAGAGAACCCACUUCUACCAACCUCUAGUUCGAACGGCUAAAAACAAAUGUCCCCGGGAGGGCUCACGCAGAGCAACCCGGGGAGGAAUUAGGGUGAAGGACUCUAAACUGGAUGGGGCGGACAGGAGGAAAGGCUGUGAAUCGAUGAGGUAACUGAGACCCAGGGAAAUUAAGUGACCUGCCCAAG